rnacentral:rRNA from 1 species
UACAGAGGGUGCAAGCGUUGUUCGGAAUUAUUGGGCGUAAAGAGCUCGUAGGCGGUUUGUCGCGUCUGCUGUGAAAACCUAAGGCUCAACCUUGGGCUUGCAGUGGGUACGGGCAGACUAGAGUGCGGUAGGGGUGACUGGAAUUCCUGGUGUAGCGGUGGAAUGCGCAGAUAUCAGGAGGAACACCGAUGGCGAAGGCAGGUCACUGGGCCGCAACUGACGCUGAGGAGCGAAAGCAUGGGGAGCGAACAGG